CAAGUGAAUGCCUUCGAGUCUCACGAUCCACUAGUGACACCUAGCAGUAUGUGGUGGCAACCCAGCAGAAUGGAAUAUCUGAACCUCUUGGUGCAGUUAGCGUAUGAUACAGUCCCUCUAUCAUGGAUUCCGACGUGACGGAGGUUAUGGAUAUCUCGUCAAACCCCAUCGUCUGUCAUAUGUCAAAUUUAUACGACUUCCAGUUUGAGAUAUGGAAAACUCUUUUUCCAAAAUACCUGGUCAGGAAUUUAUCGAACUCAGUCUCAUAAAUCACAUAGGAUCACUCCUAAUCUAUCAAGGUCGAUAGAUCCCAUCUAGAUGCAACCCUAUUCCAAAAUGAACCUACUGCAGCCAAUUCGCACUACAA
rnacentral:lncRNA from 1 species